rnacentral:tRNA from 1 species
GGUAAAAUGGCCGAGUUUAGGCAUUAGACUGUAAAUCUAAAGACAGAGGAUGUCCCCUCUUUUUACCA